AAAGAAAUUAAAGUCAUUAUUUGGUAAAAGUUAAAACACUAGUUUCAUUUUGCUGGACUCAUAACAGUGUCCUCUCAGUAACUAAAAAAGAAAACAGGAACAAUACAGUGAUAGGUAGACCAACAAUGAAUUGUAAUUAAUGUAUAUUUCAUAGUAAUACUCCUGGAAGGCCUCUUUAUUUAUAGGUGUCCUAACAAUUGUGAAAUGGAGUGAAUGUCUCUAUCUCCCUUUUACAGAUGGGGAAACUGAAAUGGAGAAAAGUGACUGCUUAACCUCAGCUAAAAGGACAGUAGCAGAACAAGAAGCAGCUGAAAUUUGUGAUCCCAGGUGAAUGAAGACAACGAGCCCAGCUGCUCCAAACAGCAAGAUGAAGGAGAACAUACAUGUCAGCCUCAUAAUUAUUGUUCUCAGAUCAAUCCAGUUCUGACCCAGGAAAAGUACUGCACGCAAUCUCCAGGGCACUCUUCACUCAUAGUCUCGUCCCCUCAUCUGGAAGUCUGGCGCAAUACGUCUACAAGAGCUGUACAGGGACCAGGAUGGCAGAGAGCUGGGGACUGCUAACCAACAGCAGCCUGCCUGGAAAGUGGCUGUUAAAUUCACCUUUUCCAGAAAGUGGAAUUGAGGAGCGCAUAGCAGGCAGCAGGCAGGUGAGACUUCAUUUUGAUUCUCCCAGGGAAAAAUAUGUUUUUCCAAACUAUCUUUUUCCAUGUAGAAA